ensembl:lncRNA
UUUUUUUUUUUCCUGUGAUUCUCUUUACACAAUCUGUUCCAACUUCUGGUCACCAUUUCACACCUUCAGUCCUUGGCAUGGUAUUUUGCUACCACCUGGGCCCUACUUUGCCAAAUGCUUUUCAUCAGUUGUCAUUUUCAUGGAGAACAGGGAUUUGUAUAGUUGCUUUUAUGAAUGAGAAGCAUGGUCUACAUCAGAUAUAGUCCUGAGACACUGCUGGAAGGACCAGCUUUACCAUGGCAAGUUCUGCCAAGAAUUAAUAGUAUUUUCCCUCCUGUUCUUGUCCUCUAUGGCCAUUGGCAUGUGGUAAGGAAUAGACUUACUAUAACAUACCUCUUUCCUGACAUACUGUCCCAAAUCUUGAGUUGUACUCUGUGAAAAACUAGCCUGAAAUUGGAAUAUGUAUGAAGGUAAAUGAGCAAGAAUCAGUAGAUAGCAUCAAGGGAGAGAAAGAGAAGUUUUUGGCCUACAAGCCAUUCAGAACUGAAUAUAUGGAGUUCCCAUCUUGGCCCAGCAGAAACGAAUCCAACUAGGAACCAUGAGGUUGCGGGUUUGAUCCCUGGCCUCGCUCAGUGGGUUAAGGAUCUGGCGUUGCCUUGUGCUGUGGUGUAGGUUGCAGAUGCGUUUCGGACCUGGUGUUGCUGUGGCUCCAGCGUAGGCCAGCAGCAACAGCUCCGAUUCAACCCCUAGCCUGGGAACCUCCAUAUGCCGCAGGUAUGGUCCUAUAAAGACAAAAGACAAAAGACAAAAAAAAAUAUGAGUUGGGAUACCCUAAUCUUCAAAGAUGAACUUUAUAUUAUAUCUAGGAACUUGCUCAAGGUCAGUGACAGAAGAGGAACUAAAAACCUGGGCUCCUGCUUCCUUAUCCUGUGCCUGCCCACUGAAGCAGGAUGGCUGCCUCUGGAUGCCUGUGAAGGGCCAACUUCUCUGUGGUGAAUAUUUUUCAAGAGUAUUCUAAGAACAGGCAUGGAAACCUCAGAGUGAAGGAUUAACUUGUCAGUGGUUAUUCCUAGGGAAUGGGCUCCUUUUCCUCAGCACGCUUGAAGUGCUUUCCAGAAUUCAACUUUGCUUCCUUUAGGAGCCAUACUCUCCUUUCUUUGCAAAGAGAUAGUUGUUAGUUAUUGCUUUCUUUUUUCUUCUAUUUUCAUUUCUGCUAUUCAAGCUGAUGACCUUGCCAAACAUAAAUUUUUCUUCCUGCAGAGCACUGGAAAUAAAUAGGUGAGUCUUCUACACCCCCUUGUGGGGACCACUAGGCUGUCUUUGAUUACAGCCUGCCAUUUCAAGUGUGGUUGCUGUUUCUAAAGAAGGACAUCAGUAUUGUCAUUCAGAAACAGAGACUCAGAGAUUGAGCAGAUACUCUGUCUUUGAAUGAUUAUCUUCAAGCACUGUCUGGUUGUUAAGAUGAGCUGAAAAAUGGGCAUUUUCUCUCCCUUAGUCAGUGGGCAGAACUGUUCUAGAAUAUGACAGGUGGUGCUGAUCUCCCCAGGGCUGUAAAUUUAAUGUAUCCCUGUGGACAGAUAGAAAGUAAAGGAGGCAUUUUAUCAACUGGUAUUAAGAGACCCGAAGCAUAUAUAUGCAAACAUAUUAACAUCCCAUUUCCCUUCUACAGCCCCACCCACCUGCCCCUUCAAGGUGAAAUAGCCAGGGAUGGGUUUAUUUCCUCAUUUUCACACAGGCACCCUCAGGCUGACCUCUAAGUGACUACUCUUUCACUAUAAGACUCAUUCUUAUCUCUAGUCAACACAAAGGUUAAGAGAGAGAGAAUAAUGUGUUAUUUCCCUAGGGUUCUCAAUAUCCUAGGGAUGACCCUACCUUUAGGCAAGUUAUUGACAACAGGCAUACCUGGGCAGACUACAUACCCACUCUUCUUCCCAUUUCAUAAUUGUGAUAUGGCCCUUCUACCCACAACUAGAGGAAUAGCUCAACUUCUUACCAGAAUCAAGCAACUCCCUCACUAUAGAAGUCAAUUUGGUAACUGCCCUAGCUUUGAAUCCCUCUAGCUCCUGAGAUAUGUUACUAUUUUUUAAAAUUAAAUGAGGACACACAGGAAUAAUAUCUGAAAGAAUAAGAGAAAAAUCUCAAAAGUGCAUCAUAUAUAUAAACAGGCAGUGACUUUUACUCUGGAUUACAUUAUCCCACAUGAGUCUCAUGUUUCAGUUAUUAAAACACCAAGAGAGCUAUUGAUUGCUGUUUUAGACAUUAGUCUUAUCAAAAUGAGAAUAAAUCAAUCUUUAUUUCACAGAUUGUUAAAACUUUCGAAAGGUGUUCCUGGGUACACAAUCCCUCCCCACCUCCCAACCCUUGAGGAUGGUUUCCUGCCUUCAUUUAGAUACAGUUUAUCAACAUCCUUCUUCAAAUGUGCCCUCCCUCAAAUAUUUGCAUACUGGAUAUAUGAUCCGUUCAAAGAACAGCUUGAUCUGGACACUCUACUCUUUCAAAUGACAUUAACCUUAUUUUAAAUUGAUGGUAGUGUUUUCUGUUUCUGAUUUUUUUUUUCAGCAGCUACUUUUCACUACUGGUUUAAUAUACUUAUGAUCAACAAAAAAACCUUCCAGUAACCACUUUAUUUAUACUGUUGUUAAGCCAGGUCUUCUUGUAUAGAUAAUUUUAUAAACUAGUUUAAGAUAUUUUACAUUAAUUUCUUCCAUUUCAUGUGGGUAGAUUUCCAAUAUUUUUAGAUUGGCAUCAGACUCAUGUGCUCUCCCUUCCAGUUUUGUUAUCUGCCGAUUUAAAAAGCAAUGUAAAUAAAAGAGGAGAGCCUUAUAACUUCCAACUGCUGUCAACCAUGAAUUAAUUAAUAUAUUUGGUGGAGUGAUUGAUUACUUAAUUAUAAAUCCUCCUACUAUCUCAGUCCAUAUUUUGUCUGUCCUAACAACAGGAAGAUUAUGUUUGUUUAUUUCAGAUAUACUAGCUAUAGGGAGUUCCCCUCAUGGUUCAGCAGAAAUGAACCUGAUUAGUAUCCAUGAGAACAAAAGUUCUAUCCUUGGCCUCACUCACUGGGUUAAGAGUCUAAUGUUGCCGUGAGCUGCGGUGUAGGUCACAGAUGCAGCUGCUAUUCAGUCUCUAGACUGGGAACUUCCAUAUACUGCAGGUGCAGCCCUCCCCCCGCAAAAAAAGAAGAUGUGCUAGCUAUAAGACAUCUAUCUGAUCUUUCAGACUACUUACACUACCAGAGAAGGAAAUGAGGUAGUUUGGCCUGACUCGUUUUUUGUGAACCCAAGCUAACUUACUGAAAAUGAAAUGAUCUCUGUCUUGCCAGUUCAAGUUAUCAGGAUGUAACAAGGAUAAAUUAUGUGCCCUCAGAUUUCAGAGCACUUACUCUGUCCUGGCCAACCCCUAAAAUGGAAUUCAAAUUCCAAUUGACAAAGUUCAUGUUUCAGAAGCAGCCAUUUUUAACAUAAAACUUACCCUGAAGUCAGUGUGAUAGACAGAAAUAAAAACUGGAAAAUUGAGAAAAUAUGACCUUUACCUGUUAAGAAAGAAAAGGAGAGAGAUACUAGUCUUUCCAUUUUUUGUCCAUUUGAAGAUCUUAUUUCUUUCUUCUCUGCAGUUUAGAUUAGAGACCAGGUGAACAUUUAAAGUAUGUGUGUUGGUGGGAGGACUGAAACAGCCUUAAAAAUCAAAAGGAAGCAAAAGAAGUUAAGGCAGCUCUAGCAUAGUAAAAAGAGAGUAACUUGAUGUCAAAACUCAGACUCAAAUCUGAGGCUUUGGCACAUAUUAGCUAAAUUAGCUAAGUGACAUUGGGUAAGUCAUGUAAUAGUUUUGAGCCCUGGUUUCUGGGUUUUUGAUUUUUGUCUUUUCAGAUGGAUGGUACCUAAUGGAGUUGUUGUGAAGAUUAAAAUCCUUUCUUCACAAAACAUACAAGCAAAUACAAACUGUGUUCAACAGAGACUUACUUUCCUGUUUUUUGUUUGUUUGUUUGUUAUUUUGUUUGUUUGUUUUUAGGGCUUCACCUGCAGCAUAUGGAAGUUCCCAGGCUAGGGAUCAAGUCAGAGCUACAGCUGCCAGCCUACGCCACAGCAACAUGGGAUCCAAGCUGCAUCUGUGACCUACACCACAGCUUACUGCAAUAUUAGACCCCCACCCACUUAGCAAGGCCAGGAAUCAAACCUGCAUCCUGUGGAUACUAGUCAGAUUAGUUUCCACUGUGCUAUAAAAGGAACUCCCCUGCUGUUCUAUUUUUGGGGACUAUCUUUUUUAGGGAGUCUUAGUUUGCCAUUUUGUGAAACUUCAUCUGUUCAAGAUAAACAUGUGAAACUGAUAAAGUGUAUAGGAAUCUCUCUGCCUUUUGGCAAAGUUUGAAAUUUAUAGAGCAUUAUUAAUGAUGAGCAUUUUAUUUUUUUUACCUUAGAAAUUCAAAGUACAUGUUUCUUAUAACCUGAAUUCCUUAUCACUAACCUCAGUUAGACAAAUCAAUUUUUUUUUCGGUUUUGCAAGUUCGAAAGAAA